GAUGAACGCUGGCGGCGUGCCUAAUACAUGCAAGUCGAGCGAACAGACGAGGAGCUUGCUCCUCUGACGUUAGCGGCGGACGGGUGAGUAACACGUGGAUAACCUACCUAUAAGACUGGGAUAACUUCGGGAAACCGGAGCUAAUACCGGAUAAUAUAUUGAACCGCAUGGUUCAAUAGUGAAAGACGGUUUUGCUGUCACUUAUAGAUGGAUCCGCGCCGCAUUAGCUAGUUGGUAAGGUAACGGCUUACCAAGGCAACGAUGCGUAGCCGACCUGAGAGGGGGUGGGGCACAACUGGAGGGGAGCCAGGGCCCAGCCCCCGAGGGGAGGCAGGAGAGGGGAUCCUCGCGAAAGGGGAAAAAGCGUGAGGGAAAAACGCCGGGGGAGGGAUGAAGGUUUUCGUAGCGAAAACCUUUGUUAUGGGGAAAAAAAAAAUUUAAAAGAAAUUAUACAUGUUUGGGGGGUCCUAAAAGAAAAACCCCCGCAAACCUAGGC
rnacentral:rRNA from 1 species